rnacentral:lncRNA from 1 species
GGAGACUCAGCAUUGCUACAGCUUGUUGCUAUUUAAGUGUGCUGUAGCAAAAGGAUUUAAUCAGGUGUGUCCUUAAAUAUUGCCUAUUAGUGUUUCCUCUUAUAUUAAGAUCUGAAUGUUUUCUAAGAAUUACAAUUUCCCAGCAGUUACGCAAAUGAGGUUAAAUCAUCACUUGCAACUGUGUAUAAAAAGCUCCGCUGUCAGUACUGCAUUACCACAAUCAUCCACAUCUCUGAGACAGUCUGCUGAAGUUGUGAAGACCUGACGGUAACAUUUCUCAUCAAUCUCUUAUUGCUUCUGUGUUUUCAGUGUAAUGUUGGUGGAAUGGUGAUUUUGCAGAUGGUUUUGACCACAUCUCAUCAGAAUUAUUGUUAACAGGUGAAAUAACUGAAACCAUGAUCAAGGUUGUGUUUCUGCUUGGAUGCCUGCUGAGCCUGUUUGUUUUUAAACAGAAUGACUCAGCACACGAGCGCGAUGCACGUUCUUCAUCUGGGGAGGGGGUGAGUCUCAUGUUUGUCUUUCUACGUUUGAACAUUAGACACACUUUGCCCUCUAAUAUUUACAUAUCUCUAAGAAGUUAUUCACCAGAGAAUGCAUUAUCACAUGUAAUAAUAUAUAUUACUGAUUCUCUUGCAGACUAUUGGGACCCUAAAUCGUCUUACCCUGCUUUUACCUCUUCUACAGAAUCCAACACUUCUGCAGAAUUCAACACUCCUUGCAGCUAUUCUUGCUGCUAUACGAUAAGCUGCUUCUUAACCAACAGCUAUUACACCACAAAGGAUGAAUUGAAAAUGAACAAACAAUGAAUAAAAACCUAUGUUGAAUACCAUUGUGAAUUUCAUAAUUUAUUCACGCAGAUUGAAUUGCACUGGGAUUUAAAAAAAAAAAUAUUUACAGGAUUAUUGAGUGACUCGGUCUUACAAAGAGUUUAAAAAAAAGAUUAUUCUUGUUAAUAUGAAUAAAACCUCCUUGUUCAUUGCAGUUUCUCCCGAAUCAACCAGAUCAAUCAACAGAGUAUGCAUUAUCACAGAAUAUGUAGCAUAUUAAUAGAUACCUAUGUUUCUUAUAAACCAAACUGUAGAGAAAAGAUUAAGGCUUGCCUGGACAGGUAGGCAAUGAGGCGCUGACCACAGACUGCAUCGGGUGGGUUUAAGCAUUGGGGGGGAGGGUGGACACUCCAACUCGAGAGAGAGUGUCCUUUCACCCAGUUUAAGCAAAAGUCAACAAUCCCCUAGCCGACACAGGUGACCUUGAGGAAGUAGGAGGAUAGCGUUGUUCCUGCUUCGGCCUUGGUCUUGGCUUCCAGCUGGCGAGGGGGGACUGCACAACACCACAAUAUUGCUACAGUCCACUUCAUUCUGUAAGAUAGUAUGCAGUAUGCUGAUACUACACUGCUUUUCUAUACUAUAUAUAUUAUAUACUAUACUAUAUAUUAGGACACAGUUUAGGACACUGACGUAGCAUAGUCUCUGUUAUAGUACGCACACUGUUCACUGUUAUAGUAUAUUCAGAGCACUACGCUUCCACUGCUGUAAAUAUAUUAAUAGUACUCUGUCGAUCUGUUUACCACACCUCGAUAUAUCUGUAUACAUGUAGCACAUUUGUAUAUUUUUUCAUAGUACAUCUGUACAUCUGUGCUUGCCUGACUACCAUAGGACUCAGAUUCUUUAGUUGUUCUGCCCCAAGACUUUGAAAUGCACUUCCACCAGAUCUCCAGACCACAAAGUCUUUCACCACUUUUAAGUCACGUCUCAAAACCUAUCCAUUUAAAAUUGCAUACACCUGAUUCUGUCUUAGUCCAUUUUUACGUUGCUCAGCUUUUAUACUUGCUUUUAUACUUUCAUGGUUUUUCUCUCUCUUAUUUACCUUAUGUCUAAAUUUUAUUUUGCCAUGUUUUAUUAUAUUGUAUUGUUUGCUAUUGUUCUCGUGCUAUUGUAAGGUGACCAUGAGGGUCUUAAAGGCGCCUAGAAAUAAAAUGUAUUAUUAUUAUCAUUAUUAUUAUUAUUAAUAUAUCUUCCCAUCUGUAUAGCAAUUUAGAACAUCUGUAUGUUACACAGAUCAUCUGUAUAUCUGUACAUAUGCUUAUAUCAGUACAUCAGUAUAUUUGUUCUCUGUAUAGCAAUAUAAACAUCUGUAUACUUAUUUGUACAUAAUCUGUUCAUAACUAUUCCCACCUUUUAUACUACCCUUAUAUGUAUAUAUCUGUACAUUUGUCCAUGCAAAUUGUAUUUCGUUACCCUGUAUUUACACAUAUUCAGUGACAAUAAAGUUUGAAUCCUAUCCUAUCCUACCCUAUAUUAUAGUGAUUAUAGUGAUACUCCUUCCUUUUUGGGGGAGAACAAGGU